rnacentral:rRNA from 1 species
AGCAGCCGCGGUAAUUCCAGCUCCAAUAGCGUAUAUUAAAGUUGUUGCAGUUAGAAAGCUCGUAGUUGAAUUUCGGGGUCAGUAGGUUGGUCGUGCCACGGGUAUGUACUGGUCUCACUGAUUCCUCCUUCCUGAUGAACCGUAAUGCCAUUAAUUUGGUGUUGCGGGGAAACUGGACUGUUACUUUGAAAAAAUUAGAGUGUUUAAAGCAGGCUAACGCUUGAAUACAUUAGCAUGGAAUAAUGAAAUAGGACGUUGAUCUUAUUUUGUUGGUUUCUAGGAUUGACGUAAUGAUUAAUAGGGAUAGUUGGGGGCAUUAGUAUUCAAUUGUCAGAGGUGAAAUUCUUGGAUUUAUUGAAGACUAACUACUGCGAAAGCAUUUGCCAAGGAUGUUUUCAUUAAUCAAGAACGAAAGUUAGGGGAUCGAAGACGAUCAGAUACCGUCGUAGUCUUAACCAUAAACUAUGCCGACUAGGGAUCGGAUGAUGUUAAUUUUUAAUGACUCAUUCGGCGCCUUACG